AUUGAACGCUGGCGGCAUGCUUUACACAUGCAAGUCGAACGGCAGCGCGGGCUUCGGCCUGGCGGCGAGUGGCGAACGGGUGAGUAAUGCAUCGGAACGUGCCCAGUAGUGGGGGAUAGCCCGGCGAAAGCCGGAUUAAUACCGCAUACGACCUGAGGGUGCAAGCGGGGGACCGAAAGGCCUCGCGCUAUUGGAGCGGCCGAUGUCGGAUUAGCUAGUUGGUGGGGUAAAGGCUUACCAAGGCGACGAUCCGUAGCUGGUCUGAGAGGACGACCAGCCACACGGUGACUGAGACACGGCCCAGACUCCUACGGGAGGCAGCAGUGGGGAAUUUUGGACAAUGGGGGCAACCCUGAUCCAGCCAUGCCGCGUGCGGGAAGAAGGCCUUCGGGUUGUAAACCGCUUUUGUUCGGGAAGAAAUCCUCUGGGCUAAUACCCCGGGGGGAUGACGGUACCGGAAGAAUAAGCACCGGCUAACUACGUG
rnacentral:rRNA from 1 species